AUGAUGCUACCCAGGCUCCAGGCAAGCAGCAGUGGCCAAGUGUCAGGAGUGGGGGAGGGGGGGCAGGUGGCACCUCCCCCAGGAAGGCUGGGGGGUGGCAGAGACCAAGUGUCAGGAGGGAGUUGGGGGGACAGUGGCACUUCCCUGGGAAAAGGGCUGGGGGGUGCCAGAGACCCAAGUGUCAGGAAGGGGGUGUGGGGACCAGUUGGCACCUUCCCCCAGGAAGGGCUGGGGGUGCAGAGACCAAGUGUCAAGAGGGGGUGGGGUGCAGUGGCACCUCCCCAGGAAGGCUGGGGGUGCAGAGACCAAGUGUCAGGAGGGGGUGGGGUGCAGUGGCACCUCCCCCAGGAAGGCUGGGGGUGCAGAGAGCAGGCGAUGGCAGUGGGCAGAGGAGAGGACAAGAAGCAGUCCCUAGGGCUGACAACAGGGCCUGACCAGCAGCCACUGGGGUGCGCUCACAUGACUUCUCCAGCUCCCUCCAUGCCCUGGCUAGAGGGGACAGACAGUGGCAGCCCAGGGGAGGGUGACUUCAGACACACCACUGCAGCAAAGGCUGUGACACCCCUGGGGCUCCGGGCCACACGCUCUGCAGACAAGCAGGAGAGGGGCCCGCAGGCCCCGCGGCCCGGAGCCCCUGCUUGGGGGCCUUAUCGCAGACACGCCUGGGGAGCUCACAGCUGUGCUCAGGGCGCCUGGAUGUCCCCUGCCCUGUCCUUCCUCACCCCUCCCCCUCCUGCCUGCACUCAGGCUCAGCACCCGUCACCGGGACCCCAGCCCGCUCCAGCAGGCUGGCCCCUUCCAGUGCCUCAAGUGCCCUUUCCCAUGCGAAGAACUAACAGAGCCAGGGCCUGCAGGGACUCCUCAGGGCUCGCACAGCAGAGCCCAGCCGCUUAGCGUGGCACCAGGGGGCCCUUCCUGGCCUAGUCCCCAGCCCCUGUCUUUAAAUGCUCUUUCCACAACGCUGAGCCCCUACCACAGCGCCCCCCUCCCCUGCACCCUUCCACCAGCCAGGGGUCGCUGCUCCCCUCUCCUGGCUCUAAGCUGCUUCCUGCACAGCUCCCCUGCCGCCGCCUCCUCCGAGAAGCCUCCCUGACCCCCCUGGGGGCACCGAGAACAGAUGUUGCCGUGGACCGUGCCUGCUGAGCCGUCCUCCUGCCUCCUCCCAGCCAACACAGCCUGAGCCUCGGCCUCCCUCUGGGUGGGGCACAGGGCAGGUGCAGAAGAUGAGAGCCCCUGGCCACGCCCUAACGCACAAGCCCGAAUCUGGGUCUUGCAGACUGUGAAAGGGAGCGUGGAACGAACGCGACACAAAACACCUGGGCCCGGUCUGGGGCGGGGUCGCUGCCUUCUGAAUCUUUUAACUUCAGCAAAAAGGGUCCAAAAUUAAAAAAAAAAAAAAAAAAAAAAAAAGGUGGCUAAAAGGGUAAAAAGCAAGUGAGUAAGGGCUAAACUCAGUUUGGUGCAAUGGGAGAGAUGCCCCUGUGGGACCCCAGGAUUCACAUGAGAACAAACCGUCACAGCCCACCCAGGAGAUCGCAAGGCACUCUCGGAACCACCAGGUGUGCUCAAUGAAUGAGCAGAUGAGCAAGCGAAUGUGUGAUCCCCCCCAGACCUCGGGACGUCAAGCUCAUCAUCAUGCCCAGUGCACAGAUGCAGCACUUGAGGCUCCGCGAAGGCCCGCCGGCGGCAGCAACGACAAACAGCCACUGCGGGACCCAAGCCAAGUGUUCUGCUGCCAAGCGCACAGGUGCACGCUGGCCUGUGCCACCUCGGCCUGCUCGGCCCUGUGCACUGAGACGGGGCACAACCACAGGGGCUGGCAUUUGCCUCUGGUUGGCCGGUGUGGAGCCCACCCUGCUCUUGGAACAAGCAGCCACGACCAACCUCUUCUGGG
rnacentral:lncRNA from 1 species